CGUAAAGCGUGCGCAGGCGGUUUUGUAAGUCAGAUGUGAAAUCCCCGAGCUCAACUUGGGAACUGCGUUUGAAACUAUAAGACUAGAAUAUGUCAGAGGGGGGUAGAAUUCCACGUGUAGCAGUGAAAUGCGUAGAGAUGUGGAGGAAUACCAAUGGCGAAGGCAGCCCCCUGGGAUAAUAUUGACGCUCAUGCACGAAAGCGUGGGGAGCAAACAGGAUUAGAUACCCUGGUAGUCCACGCCCUAAACGAUGUCUACUAGUUGUUGGUGGAGUAAAAUCCAUGAGUAACGCAGCUAACGCGUGAAGUAGACCGCCUGGGGAGUACGGUCGCAAGAUUAAAACUCAAAUGAAUUGACGGGGGCCCGCACAAGCGGUGGAUUAUGUGGAUUAAUUCGAUGCAACGCGAAAAACCUUACCUGGCCUUGACAUGUAACGAACUUUCCAGAGAUGGAUUGGUGCUCGAAAGAGAACGUUAACACAGGUGCUGCAUGGCUGUCGUCAGCUCAUGUCGUGAGAUGUUGGGUUAAGUCCCGCAACGAGCGCAACCCUUGCCAUUAAUUGCCAUCAUUUAGUUGGGCACUUUAAUGGGACUGCCGGUGACAAACCGGAGGAAGGUGGGGAUGACGUCAAGUCCUCAUGGCCCUUAUGGCCAGGGCUUCACACGUAAUACAAUGGUCGGUACAGAGGGUCGCCAACCCGCGAGGGGGAGCCAAUCCCAGAAAGCCGAUCGUAGUCCGGAUUGUAGUCUGCAACUCGACUACAUGAAGUCGGAAUCGCUAGUAAUCGCGGAUCAGCAUGUCGCGGUGAAUACGUUCCCGGGCCUUGUACACACCGCCCGU
rnacentral:rRNA from 1 species